GAUCCUGGCUCAGGAUGAACGCUGGCGGCGUGCCUAACACAUGCAAGUCGAACGGAGCUGCUUUGAUGAAGUUUUCGGAUGGAUUUAAAACAGCUUAGUGGCGGACAAGUGAGUAACGCGUGGGUAACCUGCCUCACACUGGGGGAUAACAGUUAGAAAUAGCUGCUAAUACCGCAUAAGCGCACAGUUCCGCAUGGAACAGUGUGAAAAACUCCGGUGGUGUGAGAUGGACCCGCGU
rnacentral:rRNA from 1 species